rnacentral:rRNA from 1 species
AUUGAACGCUGGCGGCAGGCCUAACACAUGCAAGUCGAGCGGAUCGGCGGACGGGUGCGUAAUGCCUGUGUAUCUGCCUCUUCGUGGUGGAUAACGUCCGGUACCGGGCGCUAUUACCGCAUCCUCUCAGAUGAGCCUAGGUCGGAUUAGCGAGUUGGUGGGGUAAAGGCCGACCAAGGCGACGAUCCGUAACUGGUCUGAGAGGAUGAGCAGUCACACUGGAACUGAGACACGGUCCAGACUCCUACGGGAGGCAGCAGUGGGGAAUAUUGGACAAUGGGCGAAAGCCUGAUGCAGCCAUGCCGCGUGUGUGAAGAAGGUCUUCGGAUUGUAAAGCACUUUAAGUUGGGAGGCGUUACCAACAGAAUAAGCACCGGCUAACUUCGUGCCAGCAGCCGCGGUAAUUC